AUUGGCUUUCAUACCAGCACUAAUGCAUCGGAUCCCAUCGGAACUCUACAGUUAAGCAUGUUUGGGUGAGAAUAGUUCUAAGAUGAGUGACUUUCUGGGAAGUCCUCAUGUUGUACCUC
rfam:Lupinus angustifolius cultivar Tanjil contig_18235, whole genome shotgun sequence.